rnacentral:rRNA from 1 species
AUUGAACGCUGGCGGCAUGCCUAACACAUGCAAGCCGAACGAGAAAGAGGGGCAACUCUUGAGUAAAGUGGCGGACGGGUGCGUAAUACGUAGGAAUCUACCCUAGAGUGGGGGAUAACCUGCCGAAAGGCGGGCUAAUACCGCAUGAUCUCUAUGGAGCAAAGGUGGCUAGCAAUAGCCUUCGCUUUAGGAUGAGCCUACGUCGGACUAGCUAGUUGGUAGGGUAAUGGCCUACCAAGGCGACAAUCCGUAGCUGGUCUGAGAGGACGAUCAGCCACACUGGAACUGAGACACGGUCCAGACUCCUACGGGAGGCAGCAGUGGGGAAUAUUGGACAAUGGGGGCAACCCUGAUCCAGCAAUGCCGCGUGUGCGAUGAAGGCCUGCGGGUUGUAAAGCACUUUCGGUGGGGAAGAAAUGCUCAAAGAUAAUACAUUUGAGAGCUGACGUUACCCACAGAAGAAGCACCGGCAAACUCUGUGCCAGCCGCCGCAGUAACAC